UACGAAGGGGGGCUAGCGUUGCUCGGAAUCACUGGGCGUAAAGGGUGCGUAGGCGGGUCUUUAAGUCAGGGGUGAAAUCCUGGAGCUCAACUCCAGAACUGCCUUUGAUACUGAGGAUCUUGAGUACGGGAGAGGUGAGUGGAACUGCGAGUGUAGAGGUGAAAUUCGUAGAUAUUCGCAAGAACACCAGUGGCGAAGGCGGCUCACUGGCCCGUUACUGACGCUGAGGCACGAAAGCGUGGGGGAGCAAACAGGAGUUAGAAACCCUA
rnacentral:rRNA from 1 species